rnacentral:rRNA from 1 species
UACGUAGGGUGCAAGCGUUGUCCGGAAUUAUUGGGCGUAAAGAGCUCGUAGGCGGUCUGUCACGUCGGCUGUGAAAACCUAGGGCUCAACCCUGGGCCUGCAGCCGAUACGGGCAGACUAGAGUUCGGUAGGGGAGACUGGAAUUCCUGGUGUAGCGGUGAAAUGCGCAGAUAUCAGGAGGAACACCGGUGGCGAAGGCGGUUCUCUGGGCAUUACCUGACGCUGAGGAGCGAAAGUGUGGGGAGCGAACAGG